rnacentral:rRNA from 1 species
AGCGAACGCUGGCGGUAGGCCUAACACAUGCAAGUCGAACGGCAGCACAGUAAGAUCUUGCUCUUACGGGUGGCGAGUGGCGGACGGGUGAGGAAUACAUCGGAAUCUACUUUUUCGUGGGGGAUAACGUAGGGAAACUUACGCUAAUACCGCAUACGACCUACGGGUGAAAGCAGGGGAUCUUCUGACCUUGCGCGAUUGAAUGAGCCGAUGUCGGAUUAGCUAGUUGGCGGGGUAAAGGCCCACCAAGGCGGCGAUCCGUAGCUGGUCUGAGAGGAUGAUCAGCCACACUGGAACUGAGACACGGUCCAGACUCCUACGGGAGGCAGCAGUGGGGAAUAUUGGACAAUGGGCGCAAGCCUGAUCCAGCCAUACCGCGUGGGUGAAGAAGGCCUUCGGGUUGUAAAGCCCUUUUGUUGGGAAAGAAAAGCAGCAGGUUAAUACCCCGCUGUUCUGACGGUACCCAAAGAAUAAGCACCGGCUAACUUCGUG